rnacentral:rRNA from 1 species
GUUGAACGCUGGCGGCAGGCCUAACACAUGCAAGUCGAACGGUAACACGGAAAAGGUUGCUGCUUUGCUGACGCGUGUCGCACAGGUGAGUAGUGUCCAGCAAAAUGUACGAUGGCGUGGGUUAAAUCGUGGAAAAACUUGCUCAUAUACCGUACACUCGCUACACCUAAAAGGGGGGCAUUAUGGCACCUUGCCCUCGGGUGUGACCCGAUGGGAUUAGCUAGUGGGGGGGGUGACGGCUCACCCAGGCGACGAUCCCUAGCUGGUCUGAGAGGAUGAGCAGCCACACUGGAACUGAGACACGGUCCAGACUCCUACGGGAGGCAGCAGUGGGGAAUAUUGCACAAUGGGCGCAAGCCUGAUGCAGCCAUGCCGCGUGUGUGAAGAAGGCCUUCGGGUUGUAAAGUACUUUCGUUGGGGAAGAAGGGAGGAAAGUUAAUACCCCGCUGUAUUGACGGUACCCACAGAAGAAGCACCGGCUAACUCCGUG